rnacentral:rRNA from 1 species
CCUACGGGAGGCAGCAGUGAGGAAUAUUGGGCAAUGGGCGCAAGCCUGACCCAGCAAUGCCGCGUGAGGGAAGAAGGUUUUCGGAUUGUAAACCUCUGUUUUUAGUGAAGAAACAAAUGACGGUAGCUAAAGAGGAAGCCACGGCUAACUACGUGCCAGCAGCCGCGGUAAU